rnacentral:rRNA from 1 species
UACGGAGGGUGCGAGCGUUAAUCGGAAUUACUGGGCGUAAAGAGUGCGUAGGUGGUAUGGUAAGUUAUCUGUGAAAUCCCCGGGCUCAACCUGGGCAAGUCAGAUAAAACUGCUGUACUCGAGUAUGGGAGAGGGUAGUGGAAUUUCCGGUGUAGCGGUGAAAUGCGUAGAGAUCGGAAGGAACACCAGUGGCGAAGGCGGCUACCUGGCCUAAUACUGACACUGAGGCACGAAAGCGUGGGGAGCAAACAGG